AUUGAACGCUGGCGGCAGGCCUAACACAUGCAAGUCGAGCGGAUGAAGGGAGCUUGCUCCUGGAUUCAGCGGCGGACGGGUGAGUAAUGCCUAGGAAUCUGCCUGGUAGUGGGGGAUAACGUCCGGAAACGGGCGCUAAUACCGCAUACGUCCUGAGGGAGAAAGUGGGGGAUCUUCGGUCCUCACGCUAUCAGAUGAGCCUAGGUCGGAUUAGCUAGUUGGUGGGGUAAAGGCCUACCAAGGCGACGAUCCGUAACUGGUCUGAGAGGAUGAUCAGUCACACUGGAACUGAGACACGGUCCAGAUUCCUACGGGAGGCAGCAGUGGGGAAUAUUGGACAAUGGGCGAAAGCCUGAUCCAGCCAUGCCGCGUGUGUGAAGAAGGUCUUCGGAUUGUAAAGCACUUUAAGUUGGGAGGAAGGGCAGUAAGUUAAUACCUUGCUGUUUUGACGUUACCAACAGAAUAAGCACCGGCUAACUUCGUG
rnacentral:rRNA from 1 species